rnacentral:snoRNA from 1 species
AGAAAAUAGUGGGGUGAACUGUCCAACUUUGACUGGUUACAUGAUGAGUAAAACAAAAAAUCACCAUCUUUCGGCUGACAGGUGUGAUGAUUUGUUUUUUUCU